CUUGGAGAUUUCUCCAUUAACCUCCAGUCUCUCUCUUUCUCUCUCCUUUUUUUUUUUUUUUUUUUUUCCUCUCUCUCUCUCCCCUCCCACCUCUUCACACACACACAUGCACACGCCCCGGACUCCUUCCCACUCAUUUCCCCUUCACGCGCGCUUACUAUCCACUUACACUGGAGACCGACUGCAAUGAGCUCAGGGUUUUUUCCCCUUUUCUUUUUUCCUUUUGCUUUGCCAUUCUCCGCUUCUCGCCCGUUCCCUCACGUAGCGAAGGCACCGCCACGCAGACAACGCUUUCUUCACCCCAACUGUGCGCGGCGCCCCUGAAAAAUGCAGGCCGUGGAUUGUCCCUGCGUUUAGACUGCUGCAUGCCACAAGCCGCUUGUCCUUUCCUGUAAACAGUUUUUUUUUUUCCUCGUCUGCUGCAGUAUUUUUUUUUCUCCCACUUCUGUUUAAGACCUUUUUUUUAAAAAAAAAAGAAAAAAAAAAGAAAAAAAAUCUGCAUUCUGAUGUAGGAGCUGAGGUUUGAAGGAAGGAAGGAAGGAAGGAAGGAAGGAAAAUCAUAUCUGUGAAUGGACAUGUGAAGGAAGGAGGCAGAGGCAAAGAAUGAGGGGAAAAUGGAGAGCAUGGUCUGCGGGAGAAAGCAAAAAAAAAAGAAAAAGACAGAGAGAGUGAGAGGAGAGACGUAGGAGAAAGAAGUACCGGCACUGGCAAGAAAAAACGGGAGGGGGAAGAGAGGAGAAGGAGGACCAGUAGGGGAUAGACUUAGGAAGGAGGGACGACUUGGAUAGGAAUUGGCAAAAUCGCGGGAAAAAGAAGAAAAAACAAAACUCCAGAAUGAGAAGAAGCUGGACUUCUCUCCAAACUCAGACCCCGCACUCUCCGGCCGCCCUCGAUUUUCGUUGUCUGACAUGUUUUUUCUCCACUUCUUCGGUCACGCUCUCAUUCAUCUAUUGAGACAGACAGACACACAUUCAAGGGCUGUUUUUAUUUUAUAUCAGGAAUGCCACGGUCGACCGUAGAAGCUCCUCGGUCUGAAGAGAGCCACGGGAAAAAAGCUCCAGCUAGAUCCCGGGUUGUGAGGACGUGAUCCGGUCCGGACUGCGGAGACGUGACGAGAAAAUAUUUCAUGUCAGACUGCAACGGCACCGAGAGCAGACAACGGCUCCGACGCUGACACUCAGCCAGGGUGGCUCGGUGCGCCCUGGCUCUCAGCCCUCCAUGUGUUUGUGCAUCCCAGGACAGUUGACAUUGAUUGUGCAGGAGACAGACUGAGACACAUUAGUACCCAGCUCGCUCCUGCUGCUGAAAAACACAUUAACUGGCUGCAUUGGGAGCCCUGUCUGGUAACCAUGGCAAAGCACACAGACGGGGAGGAGGAGGAGGAGGAGGAGGUGGAGGAAGAAGAAGAAGAGGAGGAGGAGGAGGAGGGCUGAGACGGGGCAGCGGGUUCAGCGCUCAGUCUCCCAGGGGUUGUCUUUCUCAAACACUCCCUUCCUUUCCUCCGGCCACGUCUGUCAUUUUCUCUCAGCCUCGUUUAAACUGACACUUUCUGUCCCCUCCUCACACACAUCUAAACGCAUUUGCAUAUUUCUUCUUCUUCUUCUUAUUGAUCAUUCUGCCCUUGCCCCGUGCUUUAGUUCCCUAUCCAAAUACCCCAUGCAGCAUAAUCUACUCUAUAAUUCGCCUUUUCCCCACUGCUUUUUUAUUCCCUGUCAAUAUGGUUCCUGUUUGUAGUGAAAUAAAGACUAAAAGGAGUUAAACAAAGUGGAAACACGGGAUAAACUCUGAGGAAAACGAGUCAAUGCUUCUUUACGAACAUGCUCGGAAUAUGGAGGUAGUAAUGCUCAUUGCGUAGACUGCAUGACAGGCAUUUUGUUGUUUUUAUCUCAUCUGUCUACUUGCACUACUGUGGCCUCUUUUUUCCUGUGUCCUAUGUGGCAUCAAUAAAGUUUGACAUAAAUCUUU